UCGAACGGCAGCAUAGGAGCUUGCUCCUGAUGGCGAGUGGCGAACGGGUGAGUAAUAUAUCGGAACGUGCCCUAGAGUGGGGGAUAACUAGUCGAAAGACUAGCUAAUACCGCAUACGAUCUACGGAUGAAAGUGGGGGAUCGCAAGACCUCAUGCUCCUGGAGCGGCCGAUAUCUGAUUAGCUAGUUGGUGGGGUAAAAGCUCACCAAGGCGACGAUCAGUAGCUGGUCUGAGAGGACGACCAGCCACACUGGGACUGAGACACGGCCCAGACUCCUACGGGAGGCAGCAGUGGGGAAUUUUGGACAAUGGGGGCAACCCUGAUCCAGCAAUGCCGCGUGAGUGAAGAAGGCCUUCGGGUUGUAAAGCUCUUUUGUCAGGGAAGAAACGGUUCUGGAUAAUACCUGGGACUAAUGACGGUACCUGAAGAAUAAGCACCGGCUAACUACGUGCCAGCAGCCGCGGUAAUACGUAGGGUGCAAGCGUUAAUCGGAAUUACUGGGCGUAAAGCGUGCGCAGGCGGUUGUGUAAGUCAGAUGUGAAAUCCCCGGGCUCAACCUGGGAAUUGCAUUUGAGACUGCACGGCUAGAGUGUGUCAGAGGGGGGUAGAAUUCCACGUGUA
rnacentral:rRNA from 1 species